GCAUGUCGUGGCCAUGAUCUGUUCUUGUCCUCACAGGGCCCUGUGAUCUACAUGCCUGCACUCCCCUUCUGCUCCUUGGAGAUGAGGUGGCAGGUUUAGGAGCCUGGGCACUGCUGAGGACAUAGCUGCCAGCACUGUGCUACACCGAGGCUGGCUCGGUUCACCUCACAUGUCACCUCCUGCUGAGCCCCCAGGAGUUAGUCAAGAGACCCUCGAAUUCCGAUAUGAAUUGUAGCAGCUGCAAGUCAGUUUCUGCAGAGGAGACUCCUGGGAUUGUAAUCGAGACCACAUUGAAUAUACAGAUCGCUCUGGGGAGCACUGCCAUUCCAAGAGCGCUGUCUUCUGAUCCAUGAAUGUGCGCGGUGUGUCUGUCCAGGUACCCUCACCUCCAGUGGCAUCCAUCCAGACACCAGCACUGACAAUGGCCCUGCUCAGAACUGCCUCCACCCUGAAGACACAAAUGACAAAUAGAAGGGGGCCACACUCUGCUCCAGCAGGUGUUCUCACUUUGUGGGUCCAUAUGUAACUGCACGUUGUUAUUCAGGAUCGCCCGUUCUAAAUAGUGUGACGGUGCUGCGGUGUAUCCUAGUUAUUUGUUUGUGAUCUGAGAAGCAGGAGCAAGGAACUCAGGGAGAGAUCCAGGAAGAUAUCUGACAGUGUUAAGAGACGACAGUCACAGCGACAUGGGGAGCGAAGACACUUGCAGCAAAUUAAAAUAACCUCACAACUAUUGCAUAAGAGCUGCAGGUGUGAGAGAGCCUAAGCCUGUCUCAGAGUGCAGGGGAC